rnacentral:misc_RNA from 1 species
UAUCCGUAGGUGAACCUGCGGAAGGAUCAUUACUGAGUGAGGGCCCUCUGGGUCCAACCUCCCACCCGUGUUUAUUGUACCUUGUUGCUUCGGUGCGCCCGCCUCACGGCCGCCGGGGGGCUUCUGCCCCCGGGUCCGCGCGCACCGGAGACACCAUUGAACUCUGUCUGAAGAUUGCAGUCUGAGCAUAAACUAAAUAAGUUAAAACUUUCAACAACGGAUCUCUUGGUUCCG